UGUAUGUGUAUUAGUAAUUUUAUGUAAUUGAAAGUUGCAGUUAUUGCAUUUGAUAAAUUUUGUUACAAUAAAAGAAAGUAAAAUAAAUAUUUAUAUUAUGUGUAAAGGUGUGUGUGUGUGUGUGUGUGUGCGCAUGCGUCCGUCGGUCCACCCAUCCAA